AAAUCUUUGCUCUGUAUUAUUGCAAGAUGGCCAGCACUCUUCACUUCAAAGAUCAAGAGGUGAAUGCAGAGUCAUUGAAAGUAACCACAAUACCCCUUGAAGCCAGAUUAAUGCAGGAACGCAAUAAAAAGUGCAGUGAACUGAUCCUACACAGCAAAAUCACCAGUGUUAAAUGCACACUGCUGGUGUAUAUAUAGGUAUCAUCAGGUCUGGUGGUACUCCUAUAAACACCAGCAGUGUACUUUUAACACUAGUGAUUUUGCUGUGUAGUUGUCAGAAAGAAGGAUGGAGCCAUCUGGGAGAAGACAAGGCUGCUGCCAAUUGUAGAAAAGGUGUCUGAUGAAAAAAAGAGGCUGAACAAAUUCCUCAACAGGAAACCAUGGCAAUCUUCAUCAUUAGAGCUGCGCAAGGUGAACCCAUAGACAUUGGCAUCAUACUUGAGGGACAAGAGGUUCUGAAUGAGUGCUGUUGCCAUUCUUCUGGGCCUCCUUUAUGCUCCU